rnacentral:snoRNA from 1 species
UAACUCUCAGGAUCGGACCUGGAGAGUUGCCAGUAUUCUACCAGUCUCGACUGUGGGAGGGAGAGUGAAGCAGAGACCUACCCAUUCCAUUCCCAGCUUGGUCAGUGGCUAGCGAGCAGAAGGCAAUCUGCUACAAGA